GGAAUGUCUGGAAAUGAACGAUGGCCAUGAUAGGGUUGAGAGCUUCUAGGUCAGAAGAAAAGCAAAGGCCAGUAAGACUGACCUUAUCGUGGGAGUGUGCUACAGGCCACCCAACCAGGAUGAAGAGGUGGGCAAGACACUUUAGACACAGCCGCAGGAGGUCUCAAGGUCUCUCCCCUUGUUCUUGUGGGCUAUUGCAAAGUCCCAGACAUCUGCUGGAUUUAUAAUACAGCAGAUAGGGAACAGUCCCAGAGGUUCCUCAAGUGUGUGGGAGAUCACUUCCUGACACAGCUGGUGAGGCAGCCAGCAAGGGCAAGCAAAAUCCUGCUGUUUGUUCACAGAGAAGGUCUCGUGGGGGAUGUCAAGGCUGGAGGCCGCCUGGGGCAAAGGGAUCGUGAGAUGCUAGAUUUCUCAAUCCUUGUUGAACCACGGAGGGGAGUCAGCAGAACUGCCACCUUGGACUGCCGGAGAGCAAACUCGAACCUCUUUAGGACCAUGGUUGAGAGGGUCCCUUGGGAAGUACUUUUGGAGGGCGUGGGAGCCCAGGAAGGCUGGCAGUACUUUCCAGAAGUAAUUCUAAAGGUGCAGGAGCUGACCAUCCCCAGGUCAUGGAAGAUGAGCUGAUGGGCAAGGAGGCUGGACUGGCUGAACAGAGACCUUCCACUGGAACUCAAGAGCAAAAUGAAAGAUUAUGGUCUGUGGAAGAGUGGGCAAGCUACUUAUGAUGAUUACAGGAACUCCGCCACAGCAGCAUUUUCCAGUCCGUGGCACCUUGAUCCCAGGAUGUGCUCCGCACCGUGCUUCUAGGGCAUCAACAUCUGCUGCUGCACAAAGGCCCCUGAAAGGAAAAGCACC
rnacentral:lncRNA from 1 species